rnacentral:rRNA from 1 species
AGGUGGGGGUCGCGGGUUCGAAUCCCGUCGUUCGCUUGAGGAGCCGGGGUGGCGGAACUGGCAGACGCACAGGACUUAAAAUCCUGCGAAAGGAAACUUUCGUACCGGUUCGAUUCCGGUCCUCGGCAUAACUUAAUAAUAAGCACCCUUAGCUCAACUGGAUAGAGUACCUGACUACGAAUCAGGCGGUUAGAGGUUCGACUCCUCUAGGGUGCAUUUUUAUCGGGAAGUAGCUCAGCUUGGUAGAGCACUUGGUUUGGGACCAAGGGGUCGCAGGUUCGAAUCCUGUCUUCCCGAUUAAGACCUUUGAGAACUGAAUAAGAAACCAAGUGCAGGGUUAUGAUAGAAGAAUUAUAACCUGUCAAUUUACAAGAAUAAAUCGUCAGACGACGGUAAUGAGUUAACGCUCGAACAAUUAUUAAAGUAUUAAUGAGAGUUUGAUCCUGGCUCAGGACGAACGCUGGCGGCGUGCCUAAUACAUGCAAGUAGAACGCUGAAGAGAGGAGCUUGCUCUUCUUGGAUGAGUUGCGAACGGGUGAGUAACGCGUAGGUAACCUGCCUUGUAGCGGGGGAUAACUAUUGGAAACGAUAGCUAAUACCGCAUAACAAUGGAUGACACAUGUCAUUUAUUUGAAAGGGGCAAUUGCUCCACUACAAGAUGGACCUGCGUUGUAUUAGCUAGUAGGUGAGGUAAUGGCUCACCUAGGCGACGAUACA